rnacentral:rRNA from 1 species
AAAAAGCUCGUAGUCGGAUUUUGGCUGAGAACGGUCGGUCCGCCGUUAGGUGUGCACUGACUGGUCUCAGCUUCCUGGUGAGGAGGUGUGCUUCAUCGCCACUUAGUCACCGUGGUUACUUUGAAAAAAUUAGAGUGUUCAAAGCGGGCUUACGCUUGAAUAUAUUAGCAUGGAAUAACACCAUAGGACUCCUGUCCUAUUUCGUUGGUCUCGGGACGGGAGUAAUGAUUAAGAGGAACAGUUGGGGGCAUUCGUAUUUCAUUGUCAGAGGUGAAAUUCUUGGAUUUAUGAAAGACGAACUUCUGCGAAAGCAUCUGCCAAGGAUGUUUUCAUUGAUCAAGAACGAAAGUUGGGGGCUCGAAGAUGAUUAGAUACCAUCCUAGUCUCAACCAUAAACGAUGCCGACUAGGGAUUGGCGGAUGUUAAUUGAUGACUUCGCCAGCACCUUAUGAGAAAUCAAAGUUUUUGGGUUCCGGGGGGAGUAUGGUCGCAAGGCUGAAACUUAAAGGAAUUGACGGAAGGGCACCACCAGGCGUGGAGCCUGCGGCUUAAUUUGACUCAACACGGGGAAACUUACCAGGUCCAGACAUAGUAAGGAUUGACAGAUUGAGAGCUC